CGGGGCUUUAAGUCUUGUAAUUGGAAUGAUGGGAAUUUAAACCUCUUCCAGAGUAUCAAUUGGAGGGCAAGUCUGGUGCCAGCAGCCGCGGUAAUUCCAGCUCCAAUAGCGUAUAUUAAAAUUGUUGCAGUUAAAAAGCUCGUAGUUGAAUUUCUGCUGCAUUGCUUGUGUCCCUCUGGGGUCUGUGCAUGUGGCUUUUUUCGGACGGAGUUUCUUUGUCUGAAUGUUUACUUUGAGAAAAUUAGAGUGCUCAAAGCAGGCUUUCGCCUUGAAUAGUUUAGCAUGGAAUAAUAAAGUAGGACUUUGGUUCUAUUUUGUUGGUUUUAGGUACCAAAGUAAUGGUUAAUAGGAACAGUUGGGGGCAUUCGUAUUUAACUGUCAGAGGUGAAAUUCUUAGAUUUGUUAAAGACGAACUACUGCGAAAGCAUUUGCCAAGGAUGUUUUCAUUAAUCAAGAAC
rnacentral:rRNA from 1 species